rnacentral:rRNA from 1 species
CACAUCAUGAAAGCCGUCUGCACCCGAAGUCGGGCAUUUGUCCGCCUAAGGUGUGGGUGGUGAUUGGGAUGAAGUCGUAACAAGGUAACCGUUGGGGAACCAGCGGUUGGAUCACCUCCUUU